CUGGAGCAGGCGCCGGGCGGGCUUUUGGCUCGCGGCGGCGGCUCGCUCUGCCUCGUGAUAUCACUGCCGGAGCUCAAAUCCCGCUUAGCGUUCCCAUCCUCACGCCGUCUGUCUACGCUGGCGGAGGUGGAAUCUUUCUGCAGCAGGCAGGCAGCUCCCUUGAGUAGGCGAGGUUGGAGGAGACAGGGACAGGGUCGAUGUGAAGACCAGUGUGAGGAACGGAACGAAGGAAGCAGGCCCAGUAUGAAAUUAGUCGCUGCUUAUUACGUGCUGCCUCUCUUUCCUGCUCUGGUCUUUGGCACUAGUUAACAUAGCUGCAUUUCAGCAAUUCAGAAGAAUUUUCUCAAUAGCAAACACAAAUUUGACUGAAACUUGGUAAGCUUAGCACUUUAUUUGCAUUUGUUAUUUUGUAAAUUUAGCUGUUUCUUCCUCCCCAUGUAAUUCUCAUCAUGGUAUAGUCAGAAAAUAGGUA
rnacentral:lncRNA from 1 species